UCUUCGGAGAGUUGUUAGUGAAGAGGUGGAACGAGCAUUGGCUAAGUUAGGCCCUGCCAGAAUUGCUGGAAGGUCAUCUCCUAAGAGAAUUGAAGGGCCCGAUGGAAGUAACUUGCAGCUUCAGUUUAGGUCUAGGCUAUCUUUGCCUCUGUUCACUGGAGGCAAAGUAGAAGGAGAGCAUGGUGCUGCUAUCCAUGUUGUCUUAAUUGACACAACUACUGGCCAUCUUGUGACUGCUGGUCCUGAAUCAUGUAUAAAACUGGACGUUGUUGUGCUAGAAGGUGAUUUCAACAAUGAAGAAGAUGAAGGAUGGACACAAGAAGAAUUUGACGGUCAUGUUGUUAAAGAGCGUGAAGGAAAGAGACCUCUUUUAACUGGUGACUUGCAAAUUACACUCAAGGAAGGCGUUGGAACUUUGGGGGAUCUCACAUUUACAGACAAUUCAAGUUGGAUAAGGAGCAGGAAGUUCAGACUUGGCAUGAAAGUUGCUUCUGGAUAUUGUGAAGGAGUACGCAUACGAGAAGCCAAGACUGAGGCUUUCACUGUUAAAGAUCACCGUGGAGAAUUGUACAAAAAGCACCACCCUCCAUUUCUGCAGGAUGAAGUAUGGAGAUUGCAGAAAAUUAGCAAGGAUGGA
rnacentral:misc_RNA from 1 species